rnacentral:rRNA from 1 species
UACAGAGGGUGCAAGCGUUGUUCGGAAUCAUUGGGCGUAAAGGGCGUGUAGGCGGUCUGUUAAGUCAUGUGUGAAAUCCCUCGGCUCAACCGGGGAACGACGCAUGAAACUGACAAGCUAGAGUACCAAAGAGGGGGGUGGAAUUCCCGGUGUAGCGGUGAAAUGCGUAGAGAUCGGGAGGAACACCAGAGGCGAAGGCGGCAACCUGGACAAGCACUGACACUCAACUGCGAAAGCGUGGGGAGCAAACAGG